GUGUCAAGGGAUGGGAAUCGAACCCACGACCUUCCGCUUACCGGGCAGAUGCCAUGACCACUAAGCUAUAUA
rnacentral:tRNA from 1 species